GAGAGUUUGAUCCUGGCUCAGGACGAACGCUGGCGGCGUGCCUAAUACAUGCAAGUCGAACGAACUCUGGUAUUGAUUGGUGCUUGCAUCAUGAUUUACAUUUGAGUGAGUGGCGAACUGGUGAGUAACACGUGGGAAACCUGCCCAGAAGCGGGGGAUAACACCUGGAAACAGAUGCUAAUACCGCAUAACAACUUGGACCGCAUGGUCCGAGUUUGAAAGAUGGCUUCGGCUAUCACUUUUGGAUGGUCCCGCGGCGUAUUAGCUAGAUGGUGGGGUAACGGCUCACCAUGGCAAUGAUACGUAGCCGACCUGAGAGGGUAAUCGGCCACAUUGGGACUGAGACACGGCCCAAACUCCUACGGGAGGCAGCAGUAGGGAAUCUUCCACAAUGGACGAAAGUCUGAUGGAGCAACGCCGCGUGAGUGAAGAAGGGUUUCGGCUCGUAAAACUCUGUUGUUAAAGAAGAACAUAUCUGAGAGUAACUGUUCAGGUAUUGACGGUAUUUAACCAGAAAGCCACGGCUAACUACGUGCCAGCAGCCGCGGUAAUACGUAGGUGGCAAGCGUUGUCCGGAUUUAUUGGGCGUAAAGCGAGCGCAGGCGGUUUUUUAAGUCUGAUGUGAAAGCCUUCGGCUCAACCGAAGAAGUGCAUCGGAAACUGGGAAACUUGAGUGCAGAAGAGGACAGUGGAACUCCAUGUGUAGCGGUGAAAUGCGUAGAUAUAUGGAAGAACACCAGUGGCGAAGGCGGCUGUCUGGUCUGUAACUGACGCUGAGGCUCGAAAGUAUGGGUAGCAAACAGGAUUAGAUACCCUGGUAGUCCAUACCGUAAACGAUGAAUGCUAAGUGUUGGAGGGUUUCCGCCCUUCAGUGCUGCAGCUAACGCAUUAAGCAUUCCGCCUGGGGAGUACGGCCGCAAGGCUGAAACUCAAAGGAAUUGACGGGGGCCCGCACAAGCGGUGGAGCAUGUGGUUUAAUUCGAAGCUACGCGAAGAACCUUACCAGGUCUUGACAUACUAUGCAAAUCUAAGAGAUUAGACGUUCCCUUCGGGGACAUGGAUACAGGUGGUGCAUGGUUGUCGUCAGCUCGUGUCGUGAGAUGUUGGGUUAAGUCCCGCAACGAGCGCAACCCUUAUUAUCAGUUGCCAGCAUUAAGUUGGGCACUCUGGUGAGACUGCCGGUGACAAACCGGAGGAAGGUGGGGAUGACGUCAAAUCAUCAUGCCCCUUAUGACCUGGGCUACACACGUGCUACAAUGGAUGGUACAACGAGUUGCGAACUCGCGAGAGUAAGCUAAUCUCUUAAAGCCAUUCUCAGUUCGGAUUGUAGGCUGCAACUCGCCUACAUGAAGUCGGAAUCGCUAGUAAUCGCGGAUCAGCAUGCCGCGGUGAAUACGUUCCCGGGCCUUGUACACACCGCCCGUCACACCAUGAGAGUUUGUAACACCCAAAGUCGGUGGGGUAACCUUUUAGGAACCAGCCGCCUAAGGUGGGACAGAUGAUUAGGGUGAAGUCGUAACAAGGUAGCCGUAG
rnacentral:rRNA from 2 species